AUUCUCGCCACUCUCCACUCUCUCUCUCUCUCCCUCUCUCUCUUUUCUCUCACUACCACCAUUGAAGGCCAUUUCCAAGCUUCACAAAUCACUUCUAUACUUAGAUCUCCAUCAAAAAUCGAGCCUAAACUAUUACUACAUUGAAUCAAGAACAAGAUUGAAGGGAUUUCAAGCUUUGAGCCAAGAAAAUCGCUACUUUUCUUUGAAGUCCUUAAGUAAGUGAGCCCAUGGGUUAUCUUCGAUGUUAUGAUAUUAGAAGAUACGAGCAGAGGAUGGAAGUGAGUUCGCCUCGAGUGCUACGAGAGUAAGCUAAGAUCUUCAGGUUGAGCAGGUGAUGGAAGGGAAUGGUGUUGAGCGGGUAUUCCUUUGUCGUUUCAAGUAAUGUAACCUUGAGUAUACAUCUUCAUAUGUAUAUCUCACACGUUUUUCACUGCGAAACACUUUGAUUAUGGUAACUCUACGUUAGGAAGUUAAUGUAUUCAUUUCUGGGUAAUCCACCUCGAUUAGGUCACCCUUAUGUGAAUGUUUUUUAAGUAUUUGAAUGAUCAAAUAUGAUUCUAGUACUUUAUUUUAAUGUCAUGUUUUCUCAAAAUACUUUUAUGUUAAGUAAAUGUCCUUUUGAUUUAUGCUUAAUUAUUCGUAUUUUGGGGGUUUGCAUGUGUUUAUUUUGAGUUAAAUAUACUGGAAAUUGGUGCGUUUAUGGGUUUAUUUUAUGCUUUGCAGGAGAUUUUGAUUUUAUAGAUGGAAGAGUGUGAUGUUGGAGAUUUUGGGUGAAAAUGACUCAUUCUGGUGUCCAGAGCUGAAAAGGCGCAUGAAAGAGCAGAGCUCACAUCGUCAGACCAGAACUCAUAUCUCCAGAGCUGAACUUCACUAUCAGAGCUGAAAUCUCCAGAGCAUAACAAACUUGUCAGAGCAGAGCUAAACUCGACAGAGCUGACUUACGCGCCAGAGUAAACACAUUCCAGAGCUAGGAAGAAUCGACAGAGCUGACUAUUCUCCAGAGUCAACAUAUUUUGCCAGAGUCGACAUAUCCAGAGCUGACUUCCAGCUCUGCCAUAUUCGCCAGAGCUCGCUAAUUCCAGAGCUGACUUCCAGCUCUGUCAUACCUUACCAGUCCGCAUACUUUUUCCAGAGUUAAUGAUUUCUCGCCAGAGCUAAGAUUACUUGCAGAGCACGAUCCAACUGGACUUACCUUUGAAUGCACGAUUCUAUUUCCUUAAGAGUCCAGUUUUGUAAGGCGAGUUUGAUGAUAAUUAGGGUUGGAAUGAAGUCUAUAAAAGGGGGCUUGAACGUGAAUCAAGAUGUACAUCCUUCUGCCUCCGACACUUAGUUAGAAUCAAAUCUUUGCCCUAAUCUUUAGUUUCCGCUAGGUAGCCAAAGUUUAAGUUUUACAUGCUUUCUUAGUUCUUAUACUUUUAGUUACUUUUUGUUCUAGUUUAUUUUCAAGUUUAGUUUACUUUAAUUUUGUUUCGAAGAUUGGGAUUG